rnacentral:rRNA from 1 species
UCCCCUAGUAACGGCGAGUGAAGCGGGAAUAGCUCAAAUUUGGAAUCUCCCUUCGGGGCGAAUUGUAGUUUAGAGAAGCGUUUUCGGGGAUAGCGCAGGUGUAGGUCCUUUGGAACGAGGCAUCAUAGAGGGUGAGAAUCCCGUGCCGCCUGCAGUCUAUUCCUAUGUGAUACGCUUUCGACGAGUCGGGUUGUUUGGGAUUGCAGCCCAAAAUGGGUGGUAAAUACCAUCUAAAGCUAAAUACUGGCGAGAGAC